AUAAUUGCUAUCUACAUAUAUAAUGCAGAGAGCUGCAUUUCUUUAAUAUCAGCAUCUUCAGACUGAUCUCUACUGUUUGGAAGUGCUUUGUUUGUCACAUCUUUGCCUUUUGUUUUCCAGAACUCAUGCUUCAAGAAGAAAAUCCAAAUAUUAGUCUAAGGUUAAUUGUAAGUAGAUCCAUAAGGAUGAUCUCCAAACCAUUUUCAGAUGAUGCUCUUCCCCUUUCUUUCAUACUGAUAAACAUGCAGCCACAUCCAAAGUUACCUGAGAUACCACUCUUUACAUUUACUCUCUGUUACAGGUAGUAAUAAUGUUUUUAGGAGGGGAAAAAAAAAACUGAAUGUCAGUGAACAGUUAUCAGUAAGUGCAAUAAAUUCUCCCUCCAUUGGUUAGCAGUUGAAUGAUCCUGUCAGCCACUUCAUUACUUACAGCAAAGUAGCAUGCAGCUGAUUCUGCUGUACUUUAGUAAUUUACAUUCCUCAGAAAUCUUUUUUUUUUUUCCCUCUUUCAUGGUUUCACUUAUAUAAAACAUAUAAAAUAUUUCAACUAAUGUCAUUGUACUUCUCUAAAUUAAGUUUUCAGAUGUUCAGUGGGCUGGUUCUGUAAUGAAAAUAUGGUGCACUCAGGGAAAAGGGCAUUACACAAGCUGAGACAGAGCUCUUGCAGUGCUGGGGAAAGAACAUUUGAUUUCUCUAAUAACUGAUCAAACUAUCACAGCAAGGAGUCAGCAGAAAACUCAGCCAAACUGUGCUGGAGGACACAACUCCAAUUUCAAUGUAGGAAACACAAUGGGGGGGGGGGGGGGGCACCCUCCUCCCGCCUUCCACCAGCACAUGUUAAUAGCAGGAGAAGACCCAUCAGGACACAGAAACUGAGCUGGCUUUUUCAGCUCUUUUUCCCCCCUCCCCAACCCAAGAAAUGCUUGAAAAUCCCCCUGAUCUGGCCCUUGGCACCAGACUAACAUUUUCCUGCUGAGGAAGCAUGGACGUGUCAGUGUUCCCCAUUCCUCUUUGGGAAAUCCUGUGCUGGCAAUGUGAUGAGUUGACCUCUGUGGAGGAGCUCACAGCCUCCAUGCACACGGGUUCUGAGAAACAUGCCACACGUGGCAAGAACAGUGGCACAACCUGAAAAGAAAUACCUAAAUAAGAAAUAAGAAAUAUCCAAAUGUUCCUACAUAACUUAGUACAUAAAUGUAACUUAGCAAAGCUGCAAGUCACCUCAUGGCUCAGGCUCUUCUCAGUAUCAGCAGUGAAAAUUCAGUUAUAAUUAGCCAAGGAUCAUCCUCAAUUUUUGUACUAGCUUUUGUCAUCAAACUUAAACUGACUGCAGUACCAUCUCCUGAGCAACUCUUCAACCUACAAGCAGUACAGCUCUGCCUCUGGUCCCGUGGAAGGCAGGACACGACUGGAAAAGAUUGCCUGGAUAAAUUAACACUUCGAGAAAUUUCUCCAGUAUCCAUAAACAUGUAUGAUCAUUUCUGUGAAAGAAUAACUGGAAAAGUAUGAAAGAUUCUUGAUGUUCUAGAUAUUUUUCCUCGGAGUCAUUUCCACAUCUGGGCAUCUUUCUUUGCAGCCACCUCAGAGACAGACCAGAUCUUGCUCUGAACUCAAAAUACGGAACCCUUCAGGAAGAACUCUCUAGAAUUUUACACUCCCAAGCAGCUCACACAUGCAACUCUCCCUUUGUAGCUGACCUUCCAGAGAAUUGUUUUUAUUAAAUAAAUUAAAUGUUUACUUCUUUA